rnacentral:rRNA from 1 species
UACGUAGGGUGCAAGCGUUGUCCGGAAUUAUUGGGCGUAAAGAGCUCGUAGGCGGUCUGUCGCGUCUGCUGUGAAAACCCGGGGCUCAACCCCGGGCUUGCAGUGGAUACGGGCAGACUAGAGUUCGGUAGGGGAGACUGGAAUUCCUGGUGUAGCGGUGAAAUGCGCAGAUAUCAGGAGGAACACCGGUGGCGAAGGCGGGUCUCUGGGCCGAUACUGACGCUGAGGAGCGAAAGCUAGGGGAGCGAACGGG